rnacentral:rRNA from 1 species
UACGUAGGGACCAAGCGUUGUUCGGAUUUACUGGGCGUAAAGGGCGCGUAGGCGGCAUGACAAGUCACUUGUGAAAUCUCCGGGCUUAACUCGGAACGGCCAAGUGAUACUGUCGAGCUAGAGUGCAGAAAGGGCAAUCGGAAUUCUUGGUGUAGCGGUGAAAUGCGUAGAUAUCAGGAGGAACACCUGUGGUGUAGACAGCUUACUGGACCACUUCUGACGCUGAGACACGAAAGCGUGGGUAGCAAACAGG